rnacentral:rRNA from 1 species
CCGUGCGGCAGCUACACAUGCAGUCGAGCGGCAGCGACUUAACUGAACCUUCGGGGAACGUUAAGGGCGGCGAGCGGCGGACGGGUGAGUAAUGCCUGGGAAUAUGCCCUGAUGUGGGGGAUAACUAUUGGAAACGAUAGCUAAUACCGCAUAAUCUCUUCGGAGCAAAGAGGGGGACCUUCGGGCCUCUCGCGUCAGGAUUAGCCCAGGUGGGAUUAGCUUGUUGGUGAGGUAAUGGCUCACCAAGGCAACGAUCCCUAGCUGGUCUGAGAGGAUGAUCAGCCACACUGGAACUGAGACACGGUCCAGACUCCUACGGGAGGCAGCAGUGGGGAAUAUUGCACAAUGGGGGAAACCCUGAUGCAGCCAUGCCGCGUGUGUGAAGAAGGCCUUCGGGUUGUAAAGCACUUUCAGUAGGGAGGAAGGUAGUGUAGUUAACACCUGCAUUAUUUGACGUUACCUACAGAAGAAGCACCGGCUAACUCCGUGCCAGCAGCCGCGGUAAUACGGAGGGUGCGAGCGUUAAUCGGAAUUACUGGGCGUAAAGCGCAUGCAGGCGGCCUGUUAAGUCAGAUGUGAAAGCCCGGGGCUUAACCUCGGAAUUGCAUUUGAAACUGGCAGGCUAGAGUCUUGUAGAGGGGGGUAGAAUUUCAGGUGUAGCGGUGAAAUGCGUAGAGAUCUGAAGGAAUACCAGUGGCGAAGGCGGCCCCCUGGACAAAGACUGACGCUCAGAUGCGAAAGCGUGGGGAGCAAACAGGAUUAGAUACCCUGGUAGUCCACGCCGUAAACGAUGUCUACUUGGAGGUUGUGGCCUUGAGCCGUGGCUUUCGGAGCUAACGCGUUAAGUAGACCGCCUGGGGAGUACGGUCGCAAGAUUAAAACUCAAAUGAAUUGACGGGGGCCCGCACAAGCGGUGGAGCAUGUGGUUUAAUUCGAUGCAACGCGAAGAACCCUUACCUACUCUUGACAUCCAGAGAAAGCUUGAAGAGAUUCGAGUGUGCCCUUCGGGAACUCUGAGACAGGUGCUGCAUGGCUGGUCGUCAGCUCGUGUGUGAAAUGUUGGGAUAGUCCCGCACGAGCGCAACCCUUAUCUGUUGCAGGCACUUUCGGAUGGUACUCAGGGAGACUGGCGGUGAUACCGAGAAGGUGGGGACGACGUCAAGUUCAUCAAUGGCUCCU